AGGAUAAACGCUGGCGGCGUGCCUAACACAUGCAAGUCGAACGUCCUACGCAAGUAGGGAGUGGCGGACGGGUGAGUAACACGUGGGCAAUCUACCUUUCGGUGAGGAAUACCAGCGAGAAAUCGCCGACAAUACCGCAUACGCUUCGCAAGAAGCAAAGUCGCAAGACGCCGGAGGAGGAGCCUGCGCCCGAUUAGCUGGUUGGUGGAGUAAUGGUCUACCAAGGCGACGAUCGGUAGCUGGUCUGAGAGGAUGACCAGCCAGACUGGGACUGAGAACGGCCCAGACUCCUACGGGAGGCAGCAGUGGGGAAUAUUGGACAAUGGGCGAAAGCCUGAUCCAGCCAUGCCGCGUGAGUGAUGAAGGCCUUAGGGUUGUAAAGCUCUUUCAGUGGGGAAGAUAAUGACGGUACCCACAGAAGAAGCCCGGCUAACUUCGUGCCAGCAGCCGC
rnacentral:rRNA from 1 species